rnacentral:lncRNA from 1 species
UAGGUAAUCAUGUGAAUGCUAUAAGAGUUUAGACAAUCAUUGUUAUCGCAAUCAAAUGAUUUCUAUAAUACAAGAGUGAAAGAAAAGAGAUUUUGUCUUACAUAGCACUGUUUGUGUUUUUAUUUCCCCGUACGGUACAAUACAUCCAAUAUUUAGCAGUGGCACACUUUUGCAUACAAAUCAGAAUUUAGUUUGUAGACAACCUUGGAUUAUCUGAGCUGCACUCGAAAAUCAUUCAGAAUUUGGGUUUUAGAGAAUCGAAUUUUGAGCUGGAUUUUUUUUUAUUUUUUUACGUUUUGAUUUAUUAAAUAAUAUGAAA